rnacentral:rRNA from 1 species
UGAAUACGAGAUGCUACGGCGUUGAAGCAGUGUAUGUCAGACUUCCAAGAAAAGCUCGCAAUGUCAUAAAUAAAGAAUGCCUGUACCAUAACCGACACAGGUGGGUAGGUAGAGUAUACUAAGGGGCGCGAGAUAACUCUCUCUAAGGAACUCGGCAAAAUAACUCCGUAACUUCGGGAGAAGGAGUGCCUUCUUUAAGAAGGUUGCAAUAACAAGAUCCAAGCAACUGUUUAUCAAAAACACAGGUCUCCGCUAAGUCGUAAGACGAUGUAUGGGGGCUGACGCCUGCCCAGUGCCAGAAGGUUAAAGAAAUUGGUUAGCAUUUGCGAAGCUGAUGACUGAAGCCCUGGUGAACGGCGGCCGUAACAAUAACGGUCCUAAGGUAGCGAAAUUCCUUGUCGGGUAAGUUCCGACCCGCACGAAAGGCGUAAUGAUUUGGAUACUGUCUCGGAGAGGGACUCGGUGAAAUAGACUUGUCUGUGAAGAUGCGGACUACCUGCACCAGGACAGAAAGACCCUAUGAAGCUUUACUGUAACUUGAAAUUGAAAUUGGACUUUAUUUGCGCAGCAUAGGUGGAAGGCGUUGAGACUAAUCCUGCGGGAUUGGUGGAGCCAUCAGUGAGAUACCACUCCUAUAAUGUUAGGUUUCUAACUUUGAAUCAUGAUCUGGUCAAAGAACAGUUUCAGGCGGGCAGUUUGACUGGGGCGGUCGCCUCCCAAAUGGUAACGGAGGCGUACAAAGGUUUCCUCUGAACGGGUAGAAAUCGUAUCUAGAGUGUAAAGGCAUAAGGAAGCUUGACUGUGAGACCUACAAGUCGAGCAGGGACGAAAGUCGGUCUUAGUGAUCUGACGGUGCUGAGUGGAAAGGCCGUCACUCAACGGAUAAAAGUUACUCUAGGAUAACAGGCUGAUCUCCCCCAAGAGUUCACAUCGACGGGGAGGUUUGGCACCUCGAUGUCGGCUCAUCGCAUCCUGGGGCGGUAGUACGUCCCAAGGGUUGGGCUGUUCGCCCAUGAAAGCGGUACGCGAGCUGGGUUCAGAACGUCGUGAGACAGUUCGGUCCAUAUCCGGUGUAGGCGUUAGAAUAUUGAGAGGAGCCUUCUUUAGUACGAGAGGACCGAGAAGGACAUACCUCUGGUGUACCAGUUAUCGUGCCAACGGUAAACGCUGGGUAGCUAUGUAUGGAGAGGAUAACCGCUGAAAGCAUCUAAGUGGGAAGCCCACCUCAAGAUGAG